UACGUAGGGUGCAAGCGUUGUCCGGAAUUAUUGGGCGUAAAGAGCUCGUAGGCGGUCUGUCGCGUCGGCUGUGAAAACCCGGAGCUCAACUCCGGGCCUGCAGUCGAUACGGGCAGACUGGAGUUCGGCAGGGGAGACUGGAAUUCCUGGUGUAGCGGUGAAAUGCGCAGAUAUCAGGAGGAACACCGGUGGCGAAGGCGGGUCUCUGGGCUGACACUGACGCUCAUGCACGAAAGCGUGGGGAGCAAACAGG
rnacentral:rRNA from 1 species